AGAUUGAACGCUGGCGGCAUGCCUUACACAUGCAAGUCGAACGGCAGCACGGGAGCAAUCCUGGUGGCGAGUGGCGAACGGGUGAGUAAUAUAUCGGAACGUGCCCAGUCGUGGGGGAUAACGUAGAGAAAUUUACGCUAAUACCGCAUACGAUCCAAGGAUGAAAGCGGGGGACCGUAAGGCCUCGCGCGACUGGAGCGGCUGAUAUCAGAUUAGCUUGUUGGUGAGGUAAAAGCUCACCAAGGCGACGAUCUGUAGCUGGUUUGAGAGAACGACCAGCCACACUGGGACUGAGACACGGCCCAGACUCCUACGGGAGGCAGCAGUGGGGAAUUUGGU
rnacentral:rRNA from 1 species